CCUACGGGUGGCAGCAGUGAGGAAUAUUGGUCAAUGGGCGCGAGCCUGAACCAGCCAAGUCGCGUGAAGGAAGAAGGCGCCAGGCGUCGUAAACCUCUUUUGUCGGGGAACAAAGUGCGCCACGCGUCGCGUUUUGAGUGUACCCUAUGAAUAAGCAUCGGCUAACUCCGUGCCAGCAGCCGCGGUAAUACGGAGGAUGCGAGCGUUAUCCGGAUUUAUUGGGUUUAAGGGGUGCGUAGGCGGUCCGAAAAGUCAGCGGUAAAAGCCUGGGGCUCAACCCCGGCGAGCCGUUGAAACUGUCGGACUAGAGACGGCGAGAGGUAGGCGGAAUGCGCGGUGUAGCGGUGAAAUGCAUAGAUAUCGCGCAGAACUCCGAUUGCGAAGGCAGCGUGCCAGGGCAGGACUGACGCUGAGGCACGAAAGCGUGGGUAUCGAACAGGAUUAGAUACCCGAGUAGUC
rnacentral:rRNA from 1 species